CCCAGCUGGAGCUUGGUGAGAAGGGCCCCUUCUAGCCAAGGGAGCAAGUCUGGUUUCCAUUAGACUGAGUUUGAGGCAAUGAUGGGUUUCCCUGGCAACGUUUGGAAAUAAGGAUCUGGAACUGCAGAGGCUCCGCUGGGUGGGAGACGAAGUCUCAGGGUCUGGCUGUUUGAAGGUGGCAAAAAGAGCCCUUGGAUUUGGAAAUUAGAAGAUCGUAUUUGUUCUUAAAUGGUAUCUACCAGAAGAAGACAGCCAGCUUUUGAUACUAACAAACCACAAUGGAAGAUGGCCGUAUUUAUCAUUGCCUUUAGCAUGUUAAAGGGUACAUACCACAUUGACCCUGGCAGAAGCAUUCCUGAUGUGUUGGAAAAAUUAAGAGAAAUAACAGUUCUUUGGCAAUAAAAAUACCUGAUCAGGUGUGUUUC
rnacentral:lncRNA from 1 species